AUCCCUGCUAUUCAUAAAAAAAAAUACGGCGAUAUUUCCCAAAAAAACAUUCGUCUCCUCUCUCAUUUUCUCCAAAACAUUUCUCUAAGCCAUUGCUACCUUGCGGGGGAGGUACGCGCCAGCCAUUGCUACCUUGCGGGGAAGGUCUGCGGUCGGCAAAUUCGUUCCCAGCUUCGAUCUACUGUUAGCCAUUAUUUAGAGAAUAAUCAGUUUGCUGUUGUUGAAAAUCCUGGCUGUUGGAAUUGGACAUUUCCUUUGAAGGACAUCGAUGGGAAUGUGUUGGCUCAGAUAGAUCGUGAUUGGAGAGGUUUUGGUUUUGAGGUGAUUCUUCUUUCUUUGUUUUGGUAGAGUUUUUACUGCUAUUUUCCUCAGGAUACAUGAAUCAAAAUAGUUCUACAGUAACAGUAAAAGCACUUUGUUUCUUUGUCAUGAAGUUGAUUGUUUCUACUUUCUUUGCUAAACUUAUAUCGCCUUCUUUGGUCGGAGGUACUUUACGGUCAAAAUUCUGCAUUUUCUAGCUGUUUCUUAUGUCUCAUUUCCCUCACAUUGUCGUAUGACAAUUAUAAAUAUCAUGCAUCUAUUCUGCUGCAUUAUCAUAUUUCAGUGGAUAACUGAAAAAUAUUUUACCGAGUAAUCUUACCGAGAUUCAUGCAUUAAACUUGUCACAUAACCACCUUACUGGAGCAAUACUAUCAGAAUUCUCAAAUCUCCAGAUUAUUGGGAGUUUGGAUCUGUCAUACGACAACUUGACUGGGAGGUAUUCCCACUCAACUUCUUAAGUUGACCACUCUAGAAGUUUUUACCGUGGCACAUAAUAAUCUAACGGGAAGAACUCCACAGCGUUCUGCGCAGUUUGCAACUUUUAGUGAAAGCAGUUAUGAGGGAAAUCCUUUUCUUUGUGGUCCUCCAUUGAACAUCAGUUGCACGGAGGCUAAAGAGAUUCCAAUAUACCAUCCUGCAGCAAAUUGCUGCGAAGAUGAUGCAUCUUUCUUAGAUAUGGUGGCUUUCUAUAUUUCCUUUCUUGUGGCAUAUGCAAAUGUGGUGGUUGCAGUCAUUGUAGUCCUUUGGGUAAAUCCUUACUGGAGAAAUAUUUGGUUUUAUUUUGUCGAGUCUUUCAUGUAUUCAUGUUAUGAUUAUUUUGCUCUCAAAUGUAGGCCUAACUUAUUAAGGUCACUUUAAUUACGUAACGUGUCAUUAUGCAAACUAUGUGGGUUAUUUUGCUUUGUACCUUCAAGUUUAUUAAUACUAGUGAAGUUUUAUUGAUUUGCACUUACUAGAAUAAUAUUCUGCCUGUCAUAUGUAUGAUUUGUAUAUGCACACAAGAGAGAGAUUGGAACAUCAUUGUAGAGCUUUUGAACUGAACUAUGGAAAAGGCACAAUAUAAUUGAAAAUGGCCUUCCAAAAAUUGUGUAAUAACUGUAUGAACUAAUACAUACAGCAAACUAUGACCUAUGUUAUUGAACUAGCACUGUUGUACCUUGAAGAUAUGAAUAUGAAGAUAAACAAGGUUGUUUCGUGCAAACUCUUUUUAUUACUUAGGAUGUUCUUGUAUUGUGUAUUAGGAUGUGAUUGUGAUAUGAUGGUCUCUUUUGCCUCUAUACCAAUUUGAAAGAGUUCUAAUUCUUUUUCUUCCUAUAGAGUCUAAAACUAAUGACAUCACGACUUCUGUGAAGUAUGGAUACCCGGCAUGAUAUAGGCUGCACUGCAGAAACAUGCUUCUGGCAUUUGCAAAAUCUCUUAAGAUAGUUCUACUUCUGAUGACCUCUGGUUGAAAGAAAUGACUCGCCAGGUAUAACUUCUCUCUUCAAAGAUAGAAAUAACAUGUAACACUUGGAGUUGGGCCUCUAAAGUAUCACGGAAAAUGUACAUCUAAAGGCGUGCUUGCGCUGCAGGUAUGUAACUUUAUGGCUUUGAAUAGAGGUUCUACAGUUCUGAAGUUCAACGUAAAGGACGAGCCUGUGAAAGUAGGGACAUAACAAGAAAAGUAGUUGUAGAAAAUUUCACUCCAGUCUACAUCAAUUAUUACACUAAAAUUUUCUUCAUGAGAAAGGUUAUAAAUACUUUCUCUCUAAUAAUCAAACAAUCCACAAGAAUCUAACCAUAUGUGUGAUCUUCAAUUUUCACUAGGAAUCUAUAGGUGGACACCUAAAUGGAUAGUAUUUGUGCAAAGAAAGUGUUUUUUUCUCUUUUUGAGUUUAUAAGAAUAUAUAUGGAUUUUAGAAUCAUCAACUUCCUCUUCUUAUAUGUUUUUUAUUUACUCUAGUGUUCGGGCCAACUUGCACGUACCUUGACGAAUUCUACCUCUCACUAGUACAAGUAACGGGCAAGAUUUCUCUUCUUAUAUAGUCUGAAUAUAUCUUAUAUUAUUGUCAAUAUUCAGUGGCAUUGUAGGUUAAGAAGCAGAAUAUGACUAAUAGCAAGAUAGUAUAUUUGUGGUGGUUGAUUUUGUUCAUGGCAAAUGGAUGGUGGUGCUGCUAUUGUUGUUGGAAUGAAGAAAGGACAGCUCUAAUGCAACUCAAAGCAUACAUAAAAUACAGUAUAAGCGACGACGACCAUUUGUCAUCAUGGGGGGCUAAUGAAACCUCGGAUUGUUGUCAAUGGGAGGGAAUUGUUUGCAGCAACACCACUAGAAGAGUCAUAGAGUUGUCCGUUAGUACUCUUUAUGGUACAUAUACUGAUGAUAGUUUGAAGAACUGGCUAAUUUGGUAACAGGUUUUGAGAAACAGAGACAACUGAAAACUGGAAGUACUUGAUUUGUCAGAGAACAGAUUCAAUCACAGGAUCUUUGAGCGUAUUAGUCAACUUUCAUCUCUCAAGUCAUUGAACCUCUCUACUAACUACAUCGGAUCAGGUUCCGGUGUAUGGUUCACACACAACAAAACUGGAUCAGAUUGUCAGGGUUAGGCAAGCUGGAAAUCCUAGAUUUGAGCUACAACUAUCUAGAUCUUGGAAACGUUUUCUCUACUCUAGAGAUAAAUACAUCUAGGAGCGCAUUGAAGAGGCUCGAUAUAAGGUACAACCAUUUCUGGAGCUUUAUACCAAAUGAAGAAUUGGGAGCUCUAAGAAAUACAGAGUACUUACUGUUGGAUUGGAACAUAUUGGAUUAGAACUUUCUCAGUAGCACUGGUGUAAUGUCAUCCCUUACAGUAUUAUCGGUAUCUUAUUGCGGCCUCAAUGGAACCCUACCUUUUCAAGAAUGUUGGCGUGUGAUUCAAUCAUGUUUCAGUGCUUUCCAAAACUUAAAAGAUGUGCACUUUAGCAAAAACUAGUUAUAAGGAGAAUUCAGCAUGUUCUCAAACAGCUCAUAUUUAAAGCUGUUAGAUCGUCUAAGAGACAACAAUUUCAGUGGUUCGAUUCCAAAAUGGUUGGGCAGUACUUCUGAUAUAACCAUCUUACUACUGAAAGAAAAUCAUCUUCAAGGCACCAUACCUCCACUAUUAUGUCAUGCAAGGUACUUAAGAAUGCUGGAUAUUUCUCACAAUAAUCUUUCUGGACCUAUACCUCAUUGCUUAGGAAACAUAAUGCAACAAGCAUGGAAUAUACUAAUAUACCGAUACAGAUCAUCAUUUGGAUAUGAAGUUGAGAUGUUUGUAGGAGAUGCUGUGAUAGACUCAGAAUUUUCAGCGGAAUCCUCCUUCAUGCGUAUGUUUCGAGAUUACAAUGCAUGGGGUAAAGCAGAGUUUACGACCAAAUAUAAUACCUAUUCAUAUAAAUUUUGUGCGGAAUUGAUUAUAUGAUGAUGUUAUUGUGUGGUUGGAGUGAAUCUUAGAAUAUUGAAGGUUUUGUGUUUAAAUUUGAUUUUGUAGUUUGAAGAUACUAGUUAAUGUUGAAAAUUUGGAGUUUGAAGAUGUUAAUGUUGAAAAUUUAAUUUUGAA